GAUGAAGAACGUAGCGAAAUGCGAUAAGUAAUGUGAAUUGCAGAAUUCAGUGAAUCAUCGAAUCUUUGAACGCACAUUGCGCCCGCCAGUAUUCUGGCGGGCAUGCCUGUUCGAGCGUCAUUUCAACCAUCAAGCCCCCGGCUUGUGUUGGGGACCUGCGGCUGCCGCAGGCCAUGAAAAGCAGUGGCGGGCUCGCUGUCACACCGAGCGUAGUAGCAUACAUCUCGCUCUGGGCGUGCUGCGGGUUCCGGCCGUUAAACCACCUUCAUAACCCAAGGUUGACCUCGGAUCAGGUAGGAAGACCCGCUGAACUUAAGCAUAUCAAUAAGCGGAGGA
rnacentral:misc_RNA from 1 species